UACAGAGGUCCCAAGCGUUGUUCGGAUUCACUGGGCGUAAAGGGUGCGUAGGCGGUCGGGUAAGUCUGAUGUGAAAUCUCACAGCUUAACUGUGAAACUGCAUUGGAUACUAUCCGGCUCGAGGAAUGGAGGGGAGACUGGAAUACUUGGUGUAGCAGUGAAAUGCGUAGAUAUCGGGAGGAACACCAGUGGCGAAGGCGAUCAUCUGGGAUUAACCUGACGCUGAGGAGCGAAAGCCAGGGGAGCAAACGGG
rnacentral:rRNA from 1 species